rnacentral:tRNA from 1 species
AAGCUUAUAGCUCAGUUGGUUAGAGCGUACGCCUGAUAAGCGUAAAGUCAGUGGUUCAAAUCCACUUAAGCUUA